CAGCCGCCGCGGUAAUACGUAGGUGGCAAGCGUUGUCCGGAAUUAUUGGGCGUAAAGGGCUCGCAGGCGGUUUCUUAAGUCUGAUGUGAAAGCCCCCGGCUCAACCGGGGAGGGUCAUUGGAAACUGGGAAACUUGAGUGCAGAAGAGGAGAGUGGAAUUCCACGUGUAGCGGUGAAAUGCGUAGAGAUGUGGAGGAACACAGUGGCGAAGGCGACUCUCUGGUCUGUAACUGACGCUGAGGAGCGAAAGCGUGGGGAGCGAACAGGAUUAGAUACCCGCGUAGUCCCUGUCUCUUAUACC
rnacentral:rRNA from 1 species